rnacentral:sRNA from 1 species
AUCAUUGACAAAUUUCAAACAUUAUCAGUCUCAGUUCUAAGUUUCAACAUGCGCUUCUUUCUCAUAACGAUUGCCCUUGUGGCUGUUAUCCUAAACAUGGCUUUGGCUGCCCCACUUGAUGACGUUCGGGUUCAUCAAUUUGCUUCAAAAGAUACGACGAUGAUAGGCAAUGGUAAUUCAGCCAAGACACUUUUGGGAGUUGACCAGACACAGGUCGGUGUAGGAGCCGCUGCAGAUGUUUUGACAAGCACUCAACAACUGUUGAGUGGGAAAAAGGGAUAAGCAUUUAAUGACAUGGCCUUGAAGUAUAAAAAAUGUUCUUCUCAAAUGUUUACCCAUAAAGAGUUUUAUUCUCAAUCUUAAAAUCAAUUUAAAAACAAUAAAAAUUGCAUAACAAUGAAAGUGUCUCAUUUUUUUCUCGAAAUAUUUCGACAAACUGUGUAAAAAAAUUAAAGGCACGAUUCUAAGGGAACAAUUCUAAGGGUACAAUUCUAAGGGUACAAUUCUAAUGAUACAAUGCUUAUGAUACAAUUCUAAGGGUAAUUUUUUUUACAAUCAUAAAUAUGUUUUUACAAGUUAUGCUGUUAUUCAAAAUCAUUAAAAAAAUGAUCAAAUUGUAGAAAGUUGAAAAAUUGUAAGUCAUAUACCGCUAAAUUUUACCACAUACAAACAGCAGAAAUUGUUUGCUGUUUUAGCAAAAAAAUUACUGCUUUAGAUGUUAUAAAAGAUUUAUUGUUAUAACAUCAUAUAUUGUUGCUUUUUUUACUACUACUCUAUGGGUCUACAACAGCAGAACUAUUGUUGAAAUAGUCAGCAAAUAGUGUUUGCCAUAAUCAAUAGACUUUUUUUAAGAGUGUAGCGAAUAUUUUUUGCUCGAAUCUUUUUCUAUACAAUGCAUGUAAUAUUGAAGAUUUCAUAACUACAAUAUUUGAGUUACAAUUACAUAUCUGACCACGAUUGUCAUAUGCAG